rnacentral:rRNA from 1 species
GACGCAUUCUGGCGGCGUGCUUAACACAUGCAAGUCGAACGGAAAGGCCCUGCUUUUGUGGGGUGCUCGAGUGGCGAACGGGUGAGUAACACGUGAGUAACCUGCCCUUGACUUUGGGAUAACUUCAGGAAACUGGGGCUAAUACCGGAUAGGAGCUCCUGCUGCAUGGUGGGGGUUGGAAAGUUUCGGCGGUUGGGGAUGGACUCGCGGCUUAUCAGCUUGUUGGUGGGGUAGUGGCUUACCAAGGCUUUGACGGGUAGCCGGCCUGAGAGGGUGACCGGCCACAUUGGGACUGAGAUACGGCCCAGACUCCUACGGGAGGCAGCAGUGGGGAAUAUUGCACAAUGGGCGGAAGCCUGAUGCAGCAACGCCGCGUGCGGGAUGACGGCCUUCGGGUUGUAAACCGCUUUCGCCUGUGACGAAGCGUGAGUGACGGUAAUGGGUAAAGAAGCACCGGCUAACUACGUGCCAGCAGCCGCGGUGAUACGUAGGGUGCGAGCGUUGUCCGGAUUUAUUGGGCGUAAAGGGCUCGUAGGUGGUUGAUCGCGUCGGAAGUGUAAUCUUGGGGCUUAACCCUGAGCGUGCUUUCGAUACGGGUUGACUUGAGGAAGGUAGGGGAGAAUGGAAUUCCUGGUGGAGCGGUGGAAUGCGCAGAUAUCAGGAGGAACACCAGUGGCGAAGGCGGUUCUCUGGGCCUUUCCUGACGCUGAGGAGCGAAAGCGUGGGGAGCGAACAGGCUUAGAUACCCUGGUAGUCCACGCUGUAAACGGUGGGUACUAGGUGUGGGGUCCAUUCCACGGGUUCCGUGCCGUAGCUAACGCUUUAAGUACCCCGCCUGGGGAGUACGGCCGCAAGGCUAAAACUCAAAGGAAUUGACGGGGCCCCGCACGAGCGGCGGAGCAUGCGGAUUAAUUCGAUGCAACGCGUAGAACCUUACCUGGGUUUGACAUGGAUCGGGAGUGCUCAGAGAUGGGUGUGCCUCUUUUGGGGUCGGUUCACAGGUGGUGCAUGGCUGUCGUCAGCUCGUGUCGUGAGAUGUUGGGUUAAGUCCCGCAACGAGCGCAACCCUUGUUCACUGUUGCCAGCACGUUAUGGUGGGGACUCAGUGGAGACCGCCGGGGUCAACUCGGAGGAAGGUGGGGAUGACGUCAAGUCAUCAUGCCCCUUAUGUCCAGGGCUUCACGCAUGCUACAAUGGCUGGUACAGAGAGUGGCGAGCCUGUGAGGGUGAGCGAAUCUCGGAAAGCCGGUCUCAGUUCGGAUUGGGGUCUGCAACUCGACCUCAUGAAGUCGGAGUCGCUAGUAAUAGCAGAUCAGCAACGCUGCGGUGAAUACGUUCCCGGGGCU